rnacentral:rRNA from 1 species
AAAACGACUCUAUGCAAUGGAUAUCUAGGCUCUCGCAUCGAUGAAGAACGUAGCGAAAUGCAAUACUUGGUGUGAAUUGCAGAAUCCCGCGAAUCAUCGAGUUUUUGAACGCAAGUUGCGCCCGAAGCCAUUUGGCCGAGGGCACGUUUGCCUGGGUGUCACGC